GACGUAGGGUGCAAGCGUUGUUCGGAAUUACUGGGCGUAAAGCGAGUGUAGGCGGUUCGAUAAGUCGGAUGUGAAAGCCCCGGGCUCAACCCGGGAAGUGCACUCGAUACUGUCGAGCUAGAGUAUCGGAGAGGUUGGUGGAAUUCUCGGUGUAGAGGUGAAAUUCGUAGAUAUCGAGAGGAACACCGGUGGCGAAGGCGGCCAACUGGACGAAUACUGACGCUGAGACUCGAAAGCGUGGGGAGCAAACAGG
rnacentral:rRNA from 1 species